ensembl:lncRNA
UGACAAACUUAGAAAGCAUAUUAAAAAGCAAAGACAUCACUUUGCCGACAAAGGACCAUAUAGUCACAGCUAUGGUUUUUCCAGUAGUCAUGCAUAGAUGUGAGAGUUGGACCAUCAAGAAGGCUAAGCACUGAAGAAUUGGUGCUUUUGAACUGUGGGGUUGGAGAAGACUUUUGACAGUCCCUUGGACAGCAAGGAAAACAAACCAGUCAAUCCUAAAGGGAUCAACCCUGACUAUUCAUUGGAAGGGCUGAUGCUGAAGCUGAAGCUCUAAUACUUUGGCCACCUGAUGGGAAGAGCCAACUCAUUGGAAAAGACCCUGAUGCUGGGAAAGAUUGAAGGCGGGAGGAGAAGAGGGUGAUGGAGGAUGAGAUGGUUGGAUAGCCAACAUGAACUUGUGCAAACUCUGGGAGACAGUGGAAGACAGUGGAGCCUGGUGUGAUGCAGUCCAUGGGGUCGCAAAGAGUCAGACAUGAUUUUGUGACUGAAGAACUAAGAGGUUCCAAGCCCACUUGGUACAAAGAGUUUGUUUGAAACAGAAGUGAUGGUAUACUCUACAAUCAAGGUUCAGUUCAUGCCCAGUGAGCCAGGCAAAAAAAAAAUAUGUGUAUAAGUCACUAACCAGGACCAUUUGGCAUCAAAUCUAAGCUGCCAUUCUAAUAGGGCAGAGACACUGGGCUUUACUUUAUUCUUGUGUCUUGCAGGAUGAGACACCUUCAUCAUAUUUUCAACCAAUUCCCACACCAAAACCCACCAUUUCAAAGUGUGUGUUGUUCGGUGAGAAACACUUGUUUGUAGAUGAUGGGCAAUAGAGGAAGUAGCAUUUAUGUUUUGUGCUUUAAGUUCAUGUGUUGGUCAAAGGAGAAUGUUUCCUUCUUUUCUUGGAAUAUAUCUUCCUCUUCCAUGACAGUGGCUAAGAAAGGUUUAGCUUCAGGACUUCCCUGGUAGUCCAGUGGCUAAGAAUCUGCCUGCCCAUGCAGGGGGACUCAGGUUGGAUCCCUGGUCCAGGAACUAAGAUCCCACAUGGCAUGGGACAACUAAGCCCAUGUGCCACAACUACUGAGCCCAGGUUCCAGAGCCCAUACUCCACAACAAAAGAAGCCCCCACGAUGAGAAGCCU